rnacentral:ncRNA from 2 species
CCCGAUGCCUCUGGAAAGCGGUGCCCAGCACCCGCCCAUGGGGAAAGGUCCGACCGGCACAGCGGCGGACCGAAUCUCUCAGGCAGCCCGAUCCGGGUCGACGACAGAGGGGGAGGA